rnacentral:lncRNA from 1 species
CGGCCUUUACUCGCCAUUGUCCUUGUUUCCCGUCAGUGACAUCAUCACACGCCCAAGUCUGAUUGACAUAGGCUCAUUCACUCCAUGAUCUCUGCUUGGCUCUGCAUGUGAAGGAGGGAGCUGAAUCUCCACGCAAAGCAAUUUGCGGGGAAAUAUAUCCACGCCACCAAACAACUGCUUACAACCUGGGCAUUGAAAAUGGAGAACAUUCAGCACACAUUUAUACUAUAUAUAUAAAAGGUAAAGGUACCCCUGCCCGUACGGGCCAGUCUUGACAGACUCUAGGGUUGCGCGCUCAUCUCACUCUAGAGGCCGGGAGCCAGCGCUGUCCGCAGACACUUCCUGGCCACGUGGCCAGCGUGACGAAGCUGCUCCGGCGAACCGGCACCAGAGCAGCACACGGAACGCCGUUUACCUUCCCGCUAGAAAGCGGUACCUAUUUAUCUACUUGCACUUAAUUGUGCUUUCAAACUGCUAGGUGGGCAGGAGCUGGGACAGAACGACGGGAGCUUACCCCGCCGCGGGGAUUCGAACCGCCGACCAUGCGAUCGGCAAGUCCUAGGCGCUGAGGUUUUACCCACAGCGCCACCCGCGUCCAAUACUAUAUAUAUAUAUAUGUAUGCAAUUUCAAGUGUUCUACCCAACCAACACACAGGUGAGCCAAAUUAGUGUGUAUAUAUGCCCAUAGGCUCUUCAUCAAAAAGGUAUGUUUACCAUCAUGAUGUUCAAUGUAAUUCAACACCUUAUAGGUGUUAAUAGCAGGGGUGUAGGAAGGGGGGCGGUUGGGGCGGCUCGCCCUGGGUGUCAUCCCUGAGGGGGGUGACAGAAUCCCUCCUGGGCAGAUCACUGCCGUGCCAAUCGCCCCGCCCCCCCGACAGAUCACCCCACCCCAAGGUGCAUGGCAUGUGUGCCGCUCCAGGAGCCCGAGCGGCUAGCUCCGCCACUGGUUAAUAAUAAUAAUAAUAAUAAUAAUAAUAAUAAUAAUUUAUUAUUUAUACCCCGCCCAUCUGGCUGGGCUUCCCCGGCCACUCUGGGCGGCUUCCAAAAGAAUAUUAAAAUACUAUAAUACAUCAAACAUUAAAAGCUUCCCGAAACAGGGCUGCCUUCAGAUGUCUUCUAAAAGCCUGGUAGUUGUUGUUCUCUUUGACAUCUGGUGGGAGGGUGUUCCACAGGGAAGGCGCCACUACCGAGAAGGCCCUCUGCCUGGUUCCCUCAGUGCUGGACCUCAGUGUCCGGGUAGAACGAUGGGGGUGGAGACGCUCCUUCAGAUAUACUGGACCAAGGCCGUUUAGGGCUUUAAAGGUCAGCACCAACACUUUGAAUUGUGCUCGGAAACGUACGGGGAGCCAAUGUAGGUCUUUCAAGACCGGUGUUAUGUGGUCUCUGCGGCCGCUCCCAGUCACCAGUCUAGCUGCCGCGUUCUGGAUUAGUUGUAGUUUUCGGGUCACCUUCAAAGGUAGCCCCACGUAGAGCGCAUUGCAGUAAUCCAAGCGGGAGAUAACCAGAGCAUGCACCACUCUGGCGAGGCAGUCCGCAGGCAGAUAGGGUCUCAGCCUGCGUACCAGAUGGAGCUGGUAAACAGCUGCCCUGGACACAGAUUUGACCUGUGCCUCCAUGGACAGCUGUGAGUCCAAAAUGAUGUCUUAUGUAUCCUGUGGUCUGUGUUUGCCUUAGCUUGAGUCUGGACUAUGGGUGUUCUGAUUCGAUACAUGAUAUCCAAUCACAGAACAUUUCAGGAUUUGGGCAUCUGCCAUUGGCCCUUAAACUCUGUGUCAUGAUUCGCAGCUUGGAAGUUUAGACAGCCAAUCCCGUUGGGAGUGGGAGUGGUCCAGGCCUUCAGAAAUGUAUAUAAGCAGUUGCUUUGCCCCUGUUGUCCAGUUCUGUUUGUUCAAUAAAGGUUCGUGCUGUUAUGACUGUGUCUUGCCUCGUGGGAACCUACCUACACUUCAAGAUGUAUCCUUGAAAGUGGCAGAAUUAAUAACUGAAGAUAGGAUGGGUCAUUUUUGGAUGACCAGAGGUCAUUUGAGUUUGGCAGCAAGCACUUGCAUGGAGGAAAACCCUUUAUGACUGAAAGAUAUUAAACCAGUAGCCCAUCUCUUCCAGCACCCUGUUCUCACAGUGGCCAACCAGAUGCCCCAAUAGGAAGGCUGCAAGCAAGACCUGAACACAAGAGCACUCCGCCCACCUACAACUCCCAGCAACUGAAUCCCUGUGAACCUUCCUCUUUUUUAAAGUUUCCAUGCAUACAAACAUACUGCCUUUCUGCAUCAUUAAGUAUGCUUAAUGUAUUUGCACUGAGUAAUAUACAAAUAACUUUUAUUUCUGAUGUUGUAAACGAAAUCUGCCCCUUUUCCCUUACGGGGUAUCCAAGAGCUCGUAUAGAGUCCUUAAGUGGGUUCCCUAUCAGUAGGAGAAAAUAACAGAGGCCAACCAGAGAAUGCAGUGGUACCUCAGUUAAGAACUUAAUUAGUUCUGGAGGUCUGUUCUUAACCUGAAACUGUUCUUCACCUGAAGCACCACUUUAGCUAAUGGGGCCUCCUGCUGCCACUGCGCCGCCGCUGCACGAUUUCUGUUCUCAUCCUGAAGCAAAGUUCUUAACCCGAAGUAAUAUUUCUGGGUUAGUGGAGUCUGUAACCUGAAGCAUAUGUAACCUGAAGCGUAUGUAACCCGAGGUACCACUGUAUUGAGAAGCAAAGCAGCUAGUAAGCCUAAUCUUUAUUAAACUUCUGCAACAGGGUCCUCACUCACCACAUACCCUUACUUUUGAAAUUGCCACCCUGUAGCUCAAGACACCGCCCCCCCAAUACAUCAUACAUACAUCACAGAAGGGGUGGUCUACAGCAGAAUCCUGCCUGGCAGGAAACCUGUUAAUGGUCACUAAUUGGAUUACCUGGGCAGCCUGGCCAUUCUUUUGUGAUUGUUAAUACUUUAGUUCCUGAAUCCAGGUCACAGGCUCACCCUAAUCAUACCCAAAUGUGCCCUUAAGGCAGGAUUUGUGAGCACAGAGACAAUGGGGAGGCUUUUCCCAUUUCCAUCCAAACUGCAGAGGAAUAUUUGAAGUCGAUCUGGGAGAGUCAAAAUGGUUUCAGGACUAUUUUCCUGUACUGUUUCAGACAUGUGGUUUAUGUAUUUAUGUAUGUGUUCGCCUUGUAAAUUUAUGAACAUUUAAUUUAUAUAUUUGAGACCUUAAAUUCUUAUAACACUGGGAAAUUGCUGUGAUACGUGCACUCAUAAGGUGAUGCAGAGGUGAGUUUACUGCUCUUCCUGACACUUUUGAGAUCUUUACACACACCACAGGAAUGAUGUGCAGCUACGUGUUCAGGAGAUACAUACCUCAAAAGAAACAAGAGUGGAUUCUUGAAGGAGAGUUUUAUGGCCACUAACAUUUGCCAUUAUGACUGCCAGCGGAAAUAUUAGAGCACUUAUGAUUCAAUGUAGUAACUGAUCACCGCAGGAGUAAGGGCAAAGAUUCUACUGCAAUAUUACUGUGGUAUAAAACAUCAUACAUCAAAAGACAAAAGGCAGAAAUUCCCCCUCUGCAUAACAGUAUAACUGAUGGAUGAGAAUCCGGAAUGUUUUGUUUAUUGGUUUAUCUGACCUCUCUCUUGAAACAUCAGUUUUAGGUGCGGCAAGACAGAUAUUGAACUUGUAAAAAUGAUCUUGCCCUGUGUUGCAAAAUAAAAUUAAUUUGGAGGUCUGGGGUGGGGGUGGAAUUGUGUGGGCUUGCUGGUACUUCGAUCCAAGAACAAUUUCCAAACCAAAACCCUUUCCCAGGUGAGCUACGCACCCACUGACUAAUGGAUACAGGCUGAGCCCAAGAUAUUUUGGUACCUGUGGCAUAAAAUCCAAAACUCUGCCCCCUUCUCACUAAUUAACAUGGGGCACAGUUCCUAGGAAGAGUCCUGGAAAAAGAGGAGGAACGAGUGAGGGAGCUGGGUAUGUUUAGCCUGGAGAAGAAGAGACUGAGAGGAGAUAUGAUAGCCAUCUUCAAAUAUCAGUGUCCAGCCCGGACACUGAGGUCCAGCUCCGAGGGCCUUCUGGCAGUUCCCUUGCUGUGAGAAGUGAGGUUACAGGGAGAGGGCCUUCUCAAUAGUGGCGCCUGCCCUAUGGAACGCCCUCCCAGCAGAUGUCAAGGCAAUAAACAACUACCGUAUUUUUUGCUCUAUAAGACUCACUUUUUCUCUCCUAAAAAGUAAGGGGAAGUGUGUGUGCGUCUUAUGGAGCGAACGCAGGCUGCGCAGCUAUCCCAGAAGCCAGAACAACAAGAGGGAUCACUGCUUUCAUUGUGCAGUGAUCCCUCUUGUUGUUCUGGCUUCUGAGAUUCAGAAUAUUUUUUUUCUUCUUUUCCUCCUCCAAAAACUAGGUGCGUCUUAUGGUCUGGUGCGUCUUAUAGAGCGAAAAAUACGGUAUUUUACUUUUAAAAGACAACUGAAGGCGGCCCUGUUUAGGGAAGUUUUUAAUGCCUGACACUGUAUUGUUUUUAAUAUUUGGUUGGAAGCCGCCCAGAGCGGCUGGGGAAACCCAGCCAGAUGGGCGGGGUAUAAAUAUUAUUAUUAUUAUUAUUAUUAUUAUUAUUAUUAUUAUAUCUCAGGGGCUGUCUCAUGGAAGAUGGAGCAAGCUUGUUUUCUUCUUUUCAAGAAGAGAAAACCAAUGGCAUCAAGUUACAAAAAAGGAGGUUCUGUCUAAACAUCAGAAAAACUUUCUGACGGUAAGAGCUGUUCAACAGUAGAAUGGAUAUGCACGUGUCGUGUAUGCUUUAGUUGAGAUUCCUGCAUUACAUUUGACUAGAAGACUCUCAGGAUCCCUUCCAACUCUACAAUUCCAUGAUCCUAUGUGUCAGAGCUUCACCCAAGCUGAAAUGACCCCUCCCUCUAUUUUCUUGGUGAAGGGAGAAAUGUUCACUGUUUGGGAGAGGGGAGGGUGGGCAAAAUUGGAACAAAGCAAGAUGGCAUCCCAGCAACAUCUCCUUUUGUUCCCUCAGAAGAAGAAAAAACCCUUUGAAGAAUGGACCCUUUGAAGCCCAUGUCAUUGAAAGACUCUGCAACUACCCCUCAUUAAGAUCGGGGAUAAUAAAGUGUUGUUAGUAGUUCCAAGGUCAAACCACAGUUCCUGCUAUGAUAAUAGAAGUGAGGAGCACAUUACCUUGUCAAGUUAAUACAGUGUGAUAGACUUUCUCAGGCAGCACAUCCAGAAAGACUGUAAACGUCUAAUAGAUUUAGGGAAACUGUACCUCAGGGGACAUAUUAGAAAGAAGCCAUCAAUGGAUCAAAUUGCUCACUGAGUAUUACUUAUUGGGGACCAGCAUGGUUUUAAAUGAUUGCUCUCUUAUCAAAAGCC